GGAGAAUUGCAGUGAUAAAAAUGAAUGUUUUACCGAGGCUACUCUACAUAUUUCACACAGCCCCACAGGUGAUUCCGCAGGCAUUUUUCAGGACACUCAAAACAGCAAUCACACAAUAUAUUUGGAGAGGGGAGAAGGCCCGCAUUGGCUUUGACAAGCUCUGCUUACCAAGAAGCUGGGGAGGGUUAGCCUUGCCCGACAUCAGAAAAUACCACCAGGCUACAGUACUGCAGAGGCUCAAG